UACGGACUGUGCGAACGUUAUUCGGAAUCACUGGGCUUAAAGAGCUCGUAGGCGGCUCGGAGGGUGGGGUGUGAAAGCCCCCGGCUCAACCGGGGAAUUGCGCUCCAAACCGCCGAGCUUGAGGAAGAUAGAGGUAAGCGGAACUGAUGGUGGAGCGGUGAAAUGCGUUGAUAUCAUCAGGAACACCGGUGGCGAAGGCGGCUUACUGGGUCUUUUCUGACGCUGAGGAGCGAAAGCUAGGGGAGCAAACGGG
rnacentral:rRNA from 2 species